GGUGGAGAGAUGGCGUCCCAAACUCAUACGUUCCACUUUAGGACGGGUGAGGCGACGAUCACCUUCCAGGAUGUAGAGGUGUUGUAUGGUUUGCCCAUGAAUGGUAAUCCAGUACUUGGGAUUAAGCAGACAAGGGACAAAGCGCAUUGGCAAAGUAUUUGUGCAAGAUUAUUAGGUUUUACUCCAAUUCCUGGAGACAUCAAAUAUAGUUGCCUCAAGGUAUCUGCGCUUAAUACACAUAUGCAACGUCAGCUAAAGUUGUCGGACAUGGAAACACAGUAUAUAGUCAAUCAGACAGCUAGAUGUUGUAUGUUUUGGUUGAUUGCUGGUACGUUGAUGGGAGAUACAUCUAGUAGUUACUUAAAGCUUAUGUACUUGCCUAUGAUCGAGGACGUUAAUGCGAUUGGGUCUUACAGUUGGGGUAGUGCUACCCUUGCAUGCUUGUAUCGCUGUCUUUGUAAAGCCUCAUAGCAUAACCAACAUGAGAUAGCAGGAUUCCUACCACUAAUACAAGUUUGGGCAUGGGAGAGAGUUACAGUCCUCAAGCCCCAGCUAGUAGCACAAAGGGAUACACAAAAUAUUUUUCCUGUUGGUUUACCUAGGGGUCCAUAUGCUACUAGAUGGUUUGUACAUUUUAGUCGGACCGGCACUACCAUGCAUGUGUUGAAAGUUUUUAGGGACGCACUUGAUUCUUUGACGGAGGAUCAGGUACAAUGUGGUAUUAGUUUGAUUUUAAUUUCAUGUAAAUUGUAAAGACUUAUUUGAUUUUUUUUUUUCAUGUAGUUUAUCUUGGGAACCAUAUUCGGAUGAAUUAAUUGAGAGCCUUCCCGAUUAUUGUCGUGUUGGACGAGACAUAUGGCAUGCUAGAGUCACAAUCUUUUGUUGGGAUGUGGUCGAGGUUCACUUGCCUGAUCGAGUUAUGAGGCAAUUUGGGUUGAUACAGGAGAUACCAACUCCGUUUCCAUUUGAUUCCACACAUUUUCACCACGAUCGUUGGGGAAGGCCGAAUACAAAUUGGGAGUUGGAGCAUGCACCAUGGUUGCCUUUUUGGAACGAACGGCGUCAACGUGUUUUUAAUGCAGCAGUGAAUCAUGAACCACUUCGGUACGAUGACCCCUACCUUAUUUGGUUCAGACACAUUACUCGACUUGUUAUUGGUAAUCCUAAUCCACGUCCUCAUUGACAAAAAGGUUAUGUUCCUAAUUCAACGGCAUAUGAAGCAAUGGACCUGAACCAAAUGAUUGACGGAAACCAUGUGUUGCACUAUAUGAUGACACAUUGGUGUGAGAUUGAUUAUAGAAAUUUGGAUUGUUGUGCAUCGGCAACUGCUGGAAUGAUGGUUGAAUAAUCGGUUUUGCAAAAUGAGACUGACUGGCCAUAGCAAAUCCAUAAUUUUGAGCCA